rnacentral:rRNA from 1 species
GACGAACGCUGGCGGCGUGCUUAACACAUGCAAGUCGAACGGUGAAGCGCCUUCCUUUUUGGUGGGUGUGGAUGAGUGGCGAACGGGUGAGUAACACGUGAGUAACCUUCCCCCUUCUUCUGGAUAACCGCAUGAAAGUUUGGCUAAUACGGGAUAUUCUGGGUCUGUCGCAUGAUGGGUCUGGGAAAGAUAUUGUUUCGGUGGGGGAUGGGCUCGCGGCCUAUCAGCUUGUUGUUGGGGUGGUGGCCUACCAAGGCGGGGACGGGUAGCCGGCCUGAGAGGGUGGCCGGUCACACUGGGAAGGAGACACGGCCAAGACUGCUAUGGGAGGCAGCAGUGAGGAAUAUUGGAGGAUGGGGGCAAGCAUGAUGCAGCGACGGCGCGUGAGGGAUGGAGGCCUUCGGGUUGUGAACCUCUUUCGCCAGUGAAGCAGGCCUGCCUUGUUUGUGGGUGGGUUGACGGUAGCUGGAUAAGAAGCGCCGGCUAACUACGUG